rnacentral:rRNA from 1 species
CACGUAGGCACCAAGCGUUGUCCGGAAUUAUUGGGCGUAAAGGGCUCGUAGGCGGUUUGUCGCGUCGGGAGUGAAAACUCAGGGCUUAACCCUGAGCCUGCUCCCGAUACGGGCAGACUAGAGGUAUGCAGGGGAGAACGGAAUUCCUGGUGUAGCGGUGAAAUGCGCAGAUAUCAGGAGGAACACCGGUGGCGAAGGCGGUUCUCUGGGCAUUACCUGACGCUGAGGAGCGAAAGUGUGGGGAGCGAACAGG